UUGGUUUCCUGAUGUGGAAGCCAGGGCCUUGAUGUUGGGCUCACCUGCUCUCUGUUAUUCCCUGGGAAUCAUCCCACCCUGCCUUGGAGAACAGAUGAAAAGAAAGAGGCAGGGGAAGGAGCCCAAGUAUCUAUGGGCACAAAACAGAUCACGUCCAAUAUCGAAAAGAUACGACUCUUUUUUGUUCAGACAUACCAUCUACACCUAAAUGAGAAGGAAAGUUGGUUUUUUUUUCUGGCCCCUGUUCCUUCUGGUUUCCUCCUGAUCAAAUUCCAAAUAUAAGGUGAAGCCCUGCAAGAGCUGGGCGGAGCAGCAAAGCAGGCAUCUGGAGAGAAGAACGGCCCUGUCUUGUGAAGUCUUUGUCCCUCAGCAAACACGCACAGAUCUGGAGAUAGAUGGGAAAGGCCAUGAAAACCCCAGAGAAAGGCGAGAAAACAAAUUUAAGUCAAAUACCCCACCAUGUUCAUUAAGUGAAAGGAUGAGAAAACAAGCCCCCCAAACUCCUCAGCAUUGGUGGUUAGGGAAGCCUGUAAGAUAAAGAAAACAAAUCCCCAUCACAAUUUAUCAUGUCACAGUCAGUGAGUCAUUUGAUUUCAGGGUUAGGCUGAGUGUGGUGGGCACUUUUUAUACAUUCUGUCAAAAUGCCAGCCUUGUUCAAAUGCUAUGGUGGUAGACAUUAAUAAUUGGCUUUUAUGUGAUGCUUUAAUGUUUA